UACGUAGGGGGCGAGCGUUAAUCGGAAUUACUGGGCGUAAAGCGUGCGCAGGCGGCUUUGUAAGACCGAUGUGAAAGCCCCGGGCUUAACCUGGGAAUUGCCGUUGAAACUGGCGAACUGGAGUGUGGCAGAGGGGAGUGGAAUUCCGCGUGUAGCAGUGAAAUGCGUAGAGAUGCGGAGGAACACCGAUGGCGAAGGCAGCCCCCUGGGCUAACACUGACGCUCAGGCACGAAAGCGUGGGGAGCAAACAGG
rnacentral:rRNA from 1 species